rnacentral:tRNA from 1 species
UCCCUAGUGGUCCAGUGGUUAGGACAUCAAGUUUUCACUAUUGAAGCCCAGGUUCAAUCUCUGGUCAGGGAA